UGGGACUGAGACACUGCCCAGACACCUACGGGUGGCUGCAGUUAAGAAUAUUCCACAAUGCACGAAAGUGUGAUGGAGCGACGCCGCGUGAAUGAUGAAGCCCUUCGGGGUGUAAAGUUCUUUUAUUAAGGAAAAAUUUUUGAUGUUACUUAAUGAAUAAGGGGCUGCUAACUUCGUGCCAGCAGCAGCGGUAAUACGAAGGCCCCGAGCGUUAUCCGGAUUUACUGGGUGUAAAACGUCUGUAGAUGGUUUGAAAAGUUAAAUGUAAAAUCUUUUAGCUUAACUAAAAACUUGCAUUUAAUACUGUCAUAACUAGAGGACGGGGGAAGUAAGUGGAAUUCCCGGUGUAGUUGUAAUAAGCGUUAAUAUCGGGAAGAACACCAAAAGUGAAAACAGCUUACUAAAACGUUCCUGACAUUGAGAGACGAAAGCGUGGGGAGCGAUACGGAUUAGAUACCCGUGUAGUCCACGCCCUAAACGAUGAGUGCUAAGCAUUGGAAGUAUCGACCCUUUCAGUGCUGUUAUAUUCAAGCUAACGCCUUAAGCACUCUACCUGGGGAGUACGACCGCAAGGUUAAAACUCAAAGGAAUUGACGGGGACCCGCACAAGCGGUGGAGCAUGUGGUUUAAUUCGACAAUAAACGGAGAACCUUACCAAGGCUUGACAUUUGCAGAAUCCUUUGGAAACAGAGGAGUGCUCGCAAGAGAGCUGUAAAACAGGUGCUGCAUGGUUGUCGUCAGCUCGUGCUGUGAAGUGUAUGGUUAAGUCCAAUAACGAGCGCAACCCCUAUUGUAAGUUACUAUGUCUUACGAAACUGACCACUUCAAGUGGUAGGAAGGUGGGGAUGACGUCAAAUCAGCACGGCCCUUACGCCUUGGGCCACACACGUGCUACAAUGGGUAAGAACAAAGGGUAGCUAAGUCGCAAGAUGGAGCUAAUCCCAGCAAAAUUACCCUCAGUUCAGAUUGAGGUCUGCAACUCGACCUCAUGAAGUCGGAAUCGCUAGUAAUCGUGGGUCAGCACACCACGGUGAAUACGUUCUCGGGUCUUGUACACACCGCCCGUCACGUCAAGAGAGCUGGUAAUACCCGAACAUCGAUGUUAAAUCAAUGGAAGGUAGGAUCAGUAAUAGGGAUGAAGUCGUAACAAGGCAGGGGUAGCGGAAGCUGUUCCUG
rnacentral:rRNA from 1 species